ACCGACGAUUGUACUACUACUUCUUGCGCGAGUACAGGAACUUGUAAUGAUGGAGUUAACAGCUUUACGUGCGAUUGUGAUCCUGGCUACGAAGGGACUACCUGUGAAACAAAUACCGACGAUUGUACUACUACUUCUUGCGCGAGUACAGGAACUUGUAAUGAUGGAGUUAACAGCUUUACGUGCGAUUGUGAUCCUGGCUACGAAGGGACUACCUGUGAAACAAAUACCGACGAUUGUACUACUACUUCUUGCGCGAGUACAGGAACUUGUAAUGAUGGAGUUAACAGCUUUACGUGCGAUUGUGAUCCUGGCUACGAAGGGACUACUUGUGAAA